GAAAAGAAACCAAAUCUCUCUCAAAUCGGAGCGGCCAAGUUGGGAUAUAGAUCGGGUUCGUCAUCGAUUUCUUUUGAUUUUUUCCCUGAUGUAAAACGUGAAUCGACCUUAUCUUUGCAACUGUAUUAGGAUUAAUGAUUUUCUCACGUACGCUCUCUGGACACUUCCUAGAUUUUCUCACGUACCCUCUCUGGACACUUUGUGGAGAUUGCAACGGAGCUCAACCAAGCCCAUACCGCUAGCUUAUAUAUUAACUGCAGCCUAACAGAAACAGUCUCAACAUCAAGGAGUCUCCUCUCGGCUGUGAACAUCGUCGCUGGUGAACCUUCUCCUGUUUGGUCAACUUCUUCCCUGUUCCUUCAAAACGAUGGCAUACGAUAUGCUCCAUGAUAUUAGCAAAGAAAAGGAUUCUUGGAAAGUCAAGGUCAGAAUAAUUAGGCCAUGGGAUGCCAUUAACCUCAACAACAAUGAACUUAUUAGCCUUUACAUGAUACUACUUGAUGAAGAGGGUACUAUGAUACAUGGCAAGAUGUCAUCGGCAUAGCAAGUUAUAUAUGGCAUAUUGAAGAAACACAGACAACCCAUGGGAUUUCAAAGAUUCGAGAUAUUGUGUUUCGAAUUGAGGAUCAAAAAAUUAACAUUAGACUAUGGGGUAAUAAGGUUGGACAAAUUGAUGAAGAUUCUUUGGGCCAUGUUGU